GAACGAACGCUGGCGGCAGGCUUCAUGCAUGCAAAGCGUUCGAUUAAAGCUCCUUCGGGAGUGUAUAAAGUGGCGAACGGGUGAGUAACAGGUGGAUGAUCUACCUUCCGGCGGGGGACAACGGCUGGAAACGGCCGCUAAUACCGCAUACGAUCACGAGGGCUUUGGAUCGUAAAGAAAGGCGCCUCAAAGCGCCGCCGGGAGAUGAGUCCGCCCCCCAUUAGCUAGUUGGAGGGAUAAUAGCCCACCAAGGCAACGAUGGGUAGCCGGGCUGAGAGGUUGGCCGGCCACACUGGGACUGAGAUACGGCCCAGACACCUACGGGUGGCAGCAGUAGGGAAUAUUGGACAAUGGGCGAAAGCUUGAUCCAGCCAUGCCGCGUGGACGAUGAAGGCCUUCGGGUCGUAAAGCUCUUUUCUGAGGGAAGAACAACCGGUGCAGGAAAUGGCGCCGGCUUGACGGUACCUUAGGAAUAAGGAGCGGCUAACUCCGUGCCAGCAGCCGCGGUAAUACGGAGGCUCCAAGCGUUGUUCGGAAUUACUGGGCGUAAAGGGAGCGCAGGCGGAUUGAUUAGUCUGAAGUGGAAGUCCGGGGCUCAACCUCGGAAGUGCUUCGGAUACUGUCAAUCUUGAGAUCGUGAGAGGAAAGCGGAAUUCAGGGUGUAGCGGUGAAAUGCUUAGAUAUCCUGAGGAACACCAGUGGCGAAAGCGGCCUUCUGGCACUGUACUGACGCUGAGGCUCGAAAGCGUGGGGAGCGAACGGGAUUAGAUACCCCGGUAGUCCACGCCGUAAACGUUGUCAACUAGGUGCGGGAGGUAUCGACCCCUUUCGUGCCGCAGCUAACGCAUUAAGUUGACCGCCUGGGGAGUACGCGCGCAAGCGUGAAACUCAAAGGAAUUGACGGGGGCCCGCACAAGCGGUGGAGCAUGUGGUUUAAUUCGAGGCAACGCGAAGAACCUUACCCAGACUUGACAUCCCGUGACCGCCAUGGAAACAUGGUUUUCCCUUCGGGGACAUCCAGUGACAGGUGUUGCAUGGCUGUCGUCAGCUCGUGUCGCGAGAUGUUGGGUUAAGUCCCGCAACGAGCGCAACCCUUGUCCUUAGUUACCAGCGCGUUAUGGCGGGACUCUAGGGAGACUGCCGGUGAUAAGCCGGAGGAAGGUGGGGAUGACGUCAAGUCAUCAUGGCCCUUACGUCUGGGGCUACACACGUGCUACAAUGGCCGGUACAAUGAGCCGCGAAGCCGCGAGGUGGAGCCAAUCUCAAAAAGCCGGUCUCAGUUCGGAUUGGAGUCUGCAACUCGACUCCAUGAAGUUGGAAUCGCUAGUAAUCGCGUAUCAGCUACGACGCGGUGAAUACGUUCCCGGGCCU
rnacentral:rRNA from 1 species